GCUCCACAACCUGUAGAUGGCCUAUUGCGGAACCUUGUUAUUGUGAUGAGGUCUGGUUUAGCAGAGAUACGGUUCCUAUAAAGUAGAGUGAAAAAGAAGAAAGGAUUUGGAAGCUGAAAGACAACAAGUUAAAAAUUGAUGGAGUUUGAACAUCUUGCUGCUUUUUUAUUGGUUUACUUUUUUUACAAAGUCGAUAAAGACAACAUAAUAAAAUAAACAAAACAAUAAGCAAC
rnacentral:lncRNA from 10 species